UGGGGAAUAUUGCACAAUGGGGGAAACCCUGAUGCAGCGACGCCGCGUGAACGAAGAAGGUAUUCGUAUCGUAAAGUUCUGUCCUAUGGGAAGAUAAUGACAGUACCAUAGAAGAAAGCUACGGCUAAAUACGUGCCAGCAGCCGCGGUAAUACGUAUGGAGCGAGCGUUGUCCGGAAUUAUUGGGCGUAAAGGGUACGCAGGCGGUUUAAUAAGUCGAAUGUUAAAGAUCGGGGCUCAACCCCGCAAAGCAUUGGAAACUGAUAAACUUGAGUAGUGGAGAGGAAAGUGGAAUUCCUAGUGUAGUGGUGAAAUACGUAGAUAUUAGGAGGAAUACCAGUAGCGAAGGCGACUUUCUGGACACAAACUGACGCUGAGGUACGAAAGCGUGGGGAGCAAACAGG
rnacentral:rRNA from 1 species